rnacentral:rRNA from 1 species
UAGGGAAUCUUCGGCAAUGGACGAAAGUCUGACCGAGCAACGCCGCGUGAGUGAAGAAGGUUUUCGGAUCGUAAAACUCUGUUGUUAGAGAAGAACAAGGACGUUAGUAACUGAACGUCCCCUGACGGUAUCUAACCAGAAAGCCACGGCUAACUACGUGCCAGCAGCCGCGGUAAUACGUAGGUGGCCAGCGUUGUCCGGAUUUAUUGGGCGUAAAGCGAGCGCAGGCGGUUUCUUAAGUCUGAUGUGAAAGCCCCCGGCUCAACCGGGGAGGGUCAUUGGAAACUGGGAUACUUGAGUGCAGAAGAGGAGAGUUGAAUUCCAUGUGUAGCGGUGAAAUGCGUAGAUAUAUGUGGGAACACCAGUGGCAAAGGCGGCUCUCUGGUCUGUAACUGACGCUGAGGCUCGAAAGCGUGGGGAGCAAACAGG